CCGGCGCUGGCGGCGGCUGCCCAGGCGGUGGCGGUGGAGGCGGCGGUGGAAGGUCUGUUCUCGCUUCAGGCGGCAGUAGUGCGGCAUGCUGGAGCUUCUCUGAGGGCUGACAGCGCUGCGCUGCGCAGCGCUCAGCUGCCUCGGGGGCCGCGGCCGCCGCGCCCCUGAGAGUGUUUCUGGUAUCUUGGUAUGUGAAGCCAGUGCUGAUCUAUAAUCAGAAGUCGGAGGCUGUAAGAACCCUGGACAAAGCUGCUCUUCCUCUGCCAAAGCCUAGGUUCUUCAAGCCUUGAGUAUGGCAAGUUCUGCAUCAGUCCCAGAGGUCGCUGCUCAUUUAACAGCUCCCAUCGUAUCAUCGCUGCUGAAGAUUUGAAGGUGAGAAAGGUCUAAUUCCUACCUGGGCUUUAGUCAUGGAUUAUGUAGCAGGGUAUGAAUUGUUUCGGUAGAUGACUCAAGGUUAAGACUGAAAUGUGGAUCACUCAUGAGGCUUGGGCCGAGUGGGUGAACAGAUAAUCUGCCUGGUGGACUCUUCAGUUUUCAGCUUUGCUGUCUUAUGUUGUGUGGUAUCCUCUAAGUAGUUCUGGAGCUAGAUCAUAACAUGGAGCAAGUCCCCUUGAGACUUAAGUAGAUGUGUUUGGAAGUGUUUGUGUAGGAGACUUUACUUGCUGACUCUGUUAACUUGAAGAAAGUGUCUUGAGGAGGUUACAAGGGAAACCUCGCUCCUGCUAAUGAAAAUCCUGGAAGAAACUUCAUUGUUUAAUGUAGUGUUGUCAUGGUAACUGUGAUUCUGAGUGCAUUUAUUUCAUAAAAAUUAACAAAGUAUUUCUGGUAAUGUCACUAUCUGGGACUAAUGGUGACCUAUAAUGAGCAGUUAGUGGCAGUAAGUCUAGAAAGUGCUGCUAAAAAAAGGGAAGCUAAUGCAUGGAUUGCUUCUGGUACUAUGGUGUAGGGCUACACUGCAACAGCAAGAGCAGUAUCUAGAGUUACCUACCAGAAGGCAGGCAGGAAGGUCAUACUCAAUAAAUUGUCUAUUGCUUUAUAAAACAGCUGUUUGUAAAGCUGUGAAUGUUAGUGAAAACUGUAAAAAGACUCUAAAUCUACACAUCAGCUGUUUGUAUUGUGUAUCACGUUGUCUCUAAAUACAACAAAGAUUUUAAAAA
rnacentral:lncRNA from 1 species